CCUACGGGUGGCAGCAGUGAGGAAUAUUGGUCAAUGGUCGGGAGACUGAACCAGCCAAGCCGCGUGAGGGAUGAAGGUACAGAGUAUCGUAAACCUCUUUUGUCAGGGAACAAAGGCGGGGACGUGUCCCCGGAUGAGUGUACCUGAAGAAAAAGCAUCGCCUAACUCCAUGCCAGCAGCCGCGGUACUACGGAGGAUGCGAGCGUUAUCCUGAUGUAUUGGGUUUAAAGGGUUCGCAGGCGGUUUGUUAAGUCAGCGGUAAAAGCCCGGGGCUCAACCCCGGCCCGCCGUUGAAACGGGCAGUCUCGAGUUGGAGAGAAGUAUGCGGAAGGCGCGGUGUAGCGGUGAAAUGCAUAGAUAUCGCGCAGAACUCCGAGUGCGAAGGCAGCAUGCCGGCUCCACACUGACGCUGAGGCACGAAAGCGUGGGUAUCGAACAGGAUUAGAUACCCCAGUAGUC
rnacentral:rRNA from 1 species